UACGGAGGAUGCGAGCGUUAUCCGGAUUUAUUGGGUUUAAAGGGUGCGCAGGCGGUUUAUUAAGUCUGGUGUAAAAGGCAGUGGCUCAACCAUUGUAUGCAUUGGAAACUGGUAGACUUGAGUGCAGGAGAGGAGAGUGGAAUUCCAUGUGUAGCGGUGAAAUGCGUAGAUAUAUGGAGGAACACCGGUGGCGAAAGCGGCUCUCUGGCCUGUAACUGACACUGAGGCUCGAAAGCGUGGGGAGCAAACAGG
rnacentral:rRNA from 1 species